rnacentral:piRNA from 1 species
AAGGUCUCAAGGACAUGUCCUGUGGU